rnacentral:rRNA from 1 species
ACUCCUACGGGAGGCAGCAGUGGGGAAUCUUGGACAAUGGGGGCAACCCUGAUCCAGCCAUGCCGCGUGAGUGAUGAAGGCCUUAGGUCGUAAAGCUCUUUCGCCUGUGAUGAUAAUGACAGUAGCAGGUAAAGAAACCCCGGCUAACUCCGUGCCAGCAGCCGCGGUAAUACGGAGGGGGUUAGCGUUGUUCGGAAUUACUGGGGCGUAAAGCGCGCGUAGGCGGACCAGAAAGUUGGGGGUGAAAUCCCGGGGCUCAACCCCGGAACUGACCUCCAAAACUCCUGGUCUUGAGUUCGAGAGAGGUGAGUGGAAUUCCGAGUGUAGAGGUGAAAUUCGUAGAUAUUCGGAGGAACACCAGUGGCGAAGGCGGCUCACUGGCUCGAUACUGACGCUGAGGUGCGAAAGUGUGGGGAGCAAACAGGAUUAGAUACCCUGGUAGGAUAGCG